rnacentral:misc_RNA from 1 species
AGAUGGAUCAUUCACAGUUACACUGUCCAAUUAUGGUCAAUGACAAAAAAACACUCGAACUUAAGGCAAUUGGUUAAUCACUGCAAAUUGAGUUAUCAUUAUUACAAUCACGACUUUCAGCGAUGGAUGUCUCGGAUCCCGUAACGAUGAAGGACGCAGCUAGCUGCGAUACGCAGUGUGACUUGCAAACUUCUGAGAAUCAUUAGAUUUUUGAACGCAAACGGCACUCUUGAGUUCUGCUCAGGAGUAUGCUCACUUCAGUGCUUUAUAUGUUUGUUACCUCAAUUGGGGGGUAACGUGGAUAGACGCUGUGUAAACGGCCUCUGAAGUCAACUGGUCUAUAAUUCUUUGGUGAUCCCUUAGAAGUGAUGGUCAAAAACUUUCAAACAAGCCUGAAUUUGAGCAAGGCUACCCGCUGAAUUUAAGCAUAUUAUUAAGCGGAGGAAAAGAAACUAACUAGGAUUCCCUUAGUAACGGCGAGUGAACAGGGAAGAGCUCAAACUGAAAAUCGACAGUUUACUGUCGAAUUGUAGUCUCACGAAGUGCAGCCUGUGUUUAUCCUGGACUAAGUCUCUUGGAAAAGAGUACCAAAGAGGGUGAAAGUCCCGUCUUUGCCCAGAGAUAUUCACGUUCGGUGCGUUUUCAAAGAGUCGCGUUCCUUGAGAUUGGAGCGCUAAGUGGGUGAUAAAUUUCAUCUAAAGCUAAAUACUAACGAGAUUCCGAUAGCAUACAAGUACCGUGAGGGAAAGAUGAAAAGGACUUUGAAAAGAGAGUUAAAAGGAACUGAAAUUGCUGAAAGGGAAGCGGAGAGUUUUGGCUGUCUAGCAAUUCUCUGCGUCUGACUUAGUUCUGGCUAAGCUUGGGUGCUAGAGUUCUGCAGUGACUCUGGAAGUGGUUUUACUCUCUGAGUAAAGUAUUGAUGGGUUCCCUAUUGGGUUCACUUCUUUACUGGUUUCAGAUUGAGAGAUCCCGCCGUUAUCGUGCCACUUAAGUGGAUUGCGUUAUAGAUUCCAGAAAUGCCGCUUCUCUCCGUCCCGUCUUGAAACACGGACCAAGGAGUCUAACUUAUAUGCAAGUACAAGGGUGUCAAACCCACGUGCGAAAUGAAAGUAACUGUUAGGAUGGGCAACCUGCACUAACACCCAGCUACCAAGUUGAGGUUGAGCAUAUAGGUUAGGACCCGAAAGAUGGUGAACUAUGCCUGAGUAGGGUGAAGCCAGAGGAAACUCUGGUGGAAGCUCGUAGCGAUACUGACGUGCAAAUCGUUCGUCAAACUUGGGUAUAGGGGCGAAAGACUAAUCGAACCAUCUAGUAGCUGGUUCCCUC